rnacentral:rRNA from 1 species
UGGGGAAUUUUGCGCAAUGGGGGAAACCCUGACGCAGCAACGCCGCGUGGAGGAUGAAGCCCCUUGGGGCGUAAACUCCUUUCGAUUGGGAAGAUAAUGACGGUACCAAUAGAAGAAGCCCCGGCUAACUUCGUGCCAGCAGCCGCGGUAAUACGAGGGGGGCAAGCGUUGUUCGGAAUUAUUGGGCGUAAAGGGUGCGUAGGCGGUUUGGUAAGUCUUGUGUGAAAUCUUCAGGCUCAACUUGAAGUCUGCACGAGAAACUACCGGACUAGAGUAUGGGAGAGGUGAGUGGAAUUUCCGGUGUAGCGGUGAAAUGCGUAGAUAUCGGAAGGAACACCUGUGGCGAAAGCGGCUCACUGGACCAUAACUGACGCUGAGGCACGAAAGCUAGGGGAGCAAACAGGAUUAGAUACCCCCGUAGUCC